rnacentral:pre_miRNA from 1 species
UAUAAUAUUUUAGCUUUUCGUCUUAUUUGAAUUUUUUUCGAUUAAUAUUUUUAUUAUUACUAGAUGAUAAAAUAUGAAUAGUACUUUAUGUGUGACUAAUGUUUUUAAGUUUUUUAUAAUUUUUAAAUAAUACGAAUGGUCAAACGUCGGACACGAAAA